UGAAUAUCUUAGAGAUGUCUCAAGAAUCUUUGUUUUUUCUCUUAGAAAAAUAACAGUGAUAAUGUUAAUAACUCACAAGAAGACAAUACACAGCUGGACAUUCCCUUUCUAAACCACAUGUGAUUACUUUAUCGGAGUGAUGGAAAGAGCCCUGGAUGAUAGGGAAGAUCAAAGAAGACCAUGCACAGGAUGAGAAAGAUCCAGUCUGCAAACAACACAUGCCAGAGAAUUUGGGGGAGAUUACCAUCACCUGCAGAUGGAACCAAACGAUGAGAAAACUUGUGACACAUUCCAACUGCUGAAAGGGGAAAGUGAGAUUUCAGUCGAAGGAUGAGACAGCAAUAAAGAAAUGCCCACCAUUGAGAAAUAUACAUCUUUUGCUUUACAUCCGAGAAUUCUUAAUAGAGAG